UUUGAACAUUGUGUGCAUUGGAUGAUAGGAAGUUCAGAUUUUGCACUAGAGUAACUAAAAGCAGCUCAAAGUAUGUAGUUGGUGAAUACAAUAAAAACUUCAGUACUGAAAGCUAAGAUGCUUGUGACAUCCCAUCAAGUAGGAUUUAGGCAUGUAUAUAACGCACUAAUUUCUUAAGAAUUCACUCUUGGCGUAUUAUUUAUUUAACAUUCAAAAGUGAGUUCAAAACCAGUCAGAACCCAUAGGUGAAUAUGCAAAAAAUGGAAAUAGAACUCUCGCAGACCCUAGCUAGACAUGAAAAUCAAACUGCAAAUCAGUGUACAUGUAUCAUGUAUCAUUAUAUCAGCCAAUAUCUGGACCCACUUCAGGUUAAUUAAUCUCUAAAACACAAAGCUGUUUAUGAAAGACACACUAAUGAACAUGCAUCCAAAGGUGCCUUUACAAGUUCGCACGUCCACCAUAUAGCUGUGAAAAAUCUAAAAAGAAAAUACUUGUGCUGGUAUAAGACAGCACACUCAUGAGACUACCUUGGCUAAGAUUAAGAUAGGAACUGAAUAUGGUAGUUACCCAGGCUUCACAAACUUAAGGACAACCACAGGGUAUAAUUUUAACCACAUACCCAUUAUUUACAAGAACCUUUCUUUGCAAAAAUAACACUAUCAGCAUGCACUCAAAGCAAAUAUAACUACGUAAGUAAACGACUAAGAUGUGAUUCUCAAAGAUGAAGACCACCGGUACAAAAUUUAGCACCUAAUGACCAUCAUCCCCAUGGAAAGUUUUUAAACAGGGAAAAGAAAAAUCACCAAAUUUAUUAGAUAGUAAACUCAUGUCUUAUCAAAAGGGAAAAAAAGAUGAUAAACCCAUGAAACCUGGUAGCGAAUAACUAAUCCCUUUGCAAACCUAAAAAAUAUUGACAUGCACAUUCAAUAAUAAUUUCCAUGUACAAAGCCCAGAGGAAACAAAUAUGCAAAACAAAAGGUAAAAACCAAAAGUACAAGGGAGAGCAACUCCAAUACUUAACAAAUUACUCCAACAUAUCUUAUAUGUAAGAAGGCAAACAUAUGCAUGAACAGGCAUGCACACAAACAGCAACAAAAAGGGUUGGAAAGAAAAAGCAAUUCCCACAUAUGAAGAAGGUGGAUCAUGGAAGUCAUGUGUCCAAACACUUGUUCCCUGUCUAUACAACCGUGCUCAGAACAAUUAGGAAACCUAUAAAACUAGUAACAAUCUCAAAAGUGCCAAAGCACUGAGAUAUAGUUGCCUGUAAGAUAAGUGAACAACUAGAUCCAAAGGAAAAGUCUACUAUCCAGUUGCACUCCAUUGCCGACUACCAAGCAUGGAAGAACAAAUAGACAUAUUAUCUGUUUAACCAAAAUAAUUGCUCUUAGCUAACCAAGCCAAAAACCUAGAUGCUAUCAUUCAAGACAAUCAGAUACCUUUCACCUGAAUAAUAACUUAAAUAAUCAGCAAAGCUUGAUGCACAUCAUUGAAAUUCCAAAGAUAGAAUCAAGUAUCAAACAGAAGAACAGACACCACAACCCCUGUUUCAAACAAAUAUAGGAGAUUUGUAUAUAAAUUAGCACAUCUAACAACCAAAAAAGAAUCGCAGAUAAGGAGCCUAGCAAUGAUAUAUGAAAAUAACUUCAAAGGAAAAGAAACAGCUGAGCCUACUUGAUAAAAUGAUUAAUCAGUGGCAUGGCCAGCAUGAACUGAAAAAAUUCAAAGUUUUAAUGCAAUUAGAGAAUGGAAUACCAGUCAAAGACAUAGAGUACAUUUGCGCAUGAAUCCUGCAUGAGGGAAAUAACAAUUAAUCAAAGAGGAAGACUGAUGUGUCGUGCAGACUAAAGGCAGUCAUGAACUGGAAGGCUCGUGAGCUGCUGAUCUGCAGGGUGGAGUACCAUCACAUCUACCGUGAAGCUAACCAAGCUGUGGACUGGGCAGCAAGGGAAGCUUUUUCCUACCCAGACUCCUCUUUCCUUUUGUAAUGCUAAUAUGCCCCGACCCUUGGUUUUUAUUUGUUGGGGUGAUUUUUCGGGAUGAGCUACCUUCUGUCUUGUGUAGCUCCUCUGGAUUUACCCAAAAAAAAAAAAAAAAGAGAAUCCCCCUCCCAAUGGUGGGGAAUGGAAGAACCAUAGAGGAGACCAUGAAAAACAAACAAAAAAAAGUCAUCACCACAGAAACUGAUGGCAAACCUCCCAAUAACAUGAAGCAGCAUUAUCUUUGAAUGUCAAGACGUCAUCAUUAGACCAAUGCACUUAAGGUAUUGAGUGAGGAGCUUACUUUGCUUUAACCUACUACUCAAGUGUCACAUAGAAGUACCAGAAUACAUUUUUAAAUCUAACUUUCAAUAAAUCCUAUACAAACAAUACAGCUUAUAAGCUCAACCAUACAACAUAAACAACACACAAGAAUCCUCUCUCUCCCUCCCCCCUUCUUUUUUGAGGGCUUAAGACACACAUGAAUCAAGAUGGCCACAAAACCAUCUUAUUACAUCCAUCUUCAUGAUCAAUAAACUCUAUACAAACCAUAAAGCAUAUUAACCAAACUCUACAGCUUAAAUAACAUAGAAGAAUCAAGAUACCAGACAUAGAAUACAAAUAAUGGGCAAGGCAUAUAGUUCAAAAAAGAAACAUUUUUGGUUGGACAUCCUUGACCACCAAAGCAUAAAUUGAUGCAAGAUGCAUCACAUUUUCCCUGUUGCAAGAAGACAAUUGUUAAUGACAAAAUUUCAUACUUGAAUAGUAACACAAAGAAAAAACUCUUGUAUACAAGACUGACACAUCUAUGUCUACUCCAAUAUAUUAUUAAAAACCAUAACACAUUGCUCACAAGUAGGACACAGACCAUCAUAACACGCACAAAAAGGCACAAGCUGAAUCGGUACUCAUACAAGCAGCUGAACAUCACUCAGCAACCAAUUACGAAUGAAAGACAUGAGGUCAGAAAACAGGCAUUCACUCCAGAACAUCCAUUAGAUGUCCAUCCAGAAAUAGAUUUCCUUUGGAUAUUCUUAAAUAGAACACGGAAUAAUAUGUCCAGUCUGUAUCAAGCAAAAGUGUCUUGGUAUCAUGCACUGUUUCUCCAGACAAGCAUAACACACGAAUUUUGUAGACAAAUACUCGAAAGAAAAAUAUUCAUAAAAAAAAAAUACUCGAAAGAAAAAUGACCAUCUACAAGUCAUCAGCCUAGCAACUGGUUAGAUCACACAAGUCCUAUAUAUUAUCUCAAAUAACACCACGAUUUAUAUUGCAUAAAUGGCAAUAACAUAUGCACAGUACCAGCUAGAGAGAGAAUCAGAUAAAGAUGCAUUCCAAUGCAAUGAAAUAAAAGGUGCACCCCCCCCCCCCAAAAAAAA